rnacentral:misc_RNA from 1 species
CGGACUACCGGGUAUCUAAUCCUGUUUGCUCCCCACGCUUUCGUGCCUCAGCGUCAAUAAAGGCCCAGCUGGCUGCCUUCGCAAUCGGUGUUCUGCGACAUAUCUAAGCAUUUCACCGCUACAUGUCGCAUUCCGCCAGCCUCAACCUAAUUCAAGUCCUACAGUAUCAAUCGCAAUUGCAUGGGUUGAGCCCAGCGAUUUCACGACUGACUUAUUGGGCCGCCUACGCACCCUUUAAACCCAGUGAUUCCGGAUAACGCUUGCACCCUCCGUAUUACCGCGGCUGCUGGCACU